UCAGAGAUGCCCUGCUCAGUAAGGAGGAAUCUAGAGAGGCAGUCUGACAACAGCUGCUUUGCCACACUGUGAAACUUCUUUAAAUGAUACUUACAGACCUGCAAUUCCUUAUCUGCAGUUAUGAAAUCCAUAAACAAAAAGCUUGAAAACCAA